UUUCCGUAGGUGAACCUGCGGAAGGAUCAUUAUUGUAUAACCGAGGUGCGAGGGCUGUCGCUGACCCGAAAGGUCGUGCACGCCCGAGUGCCCUCACACACAUCCACCUCACCCCUAUGUGCACCACCGCGUGGGUCCCCCUUUGGCUUGUUCGGAGGGGGGCUUACGUUUUCACACAAACUUUGUAUGCAGUGUAGAAUGUAUUUUUUUGUUUUUGCGAUCACGCAAUCAAUACAACUUUCAACAACGGAUCUCUUGGCUCUC
rnacentral:misc_RNA from 1 species